UGCCUGUAAUCUAAGCGUUAAGCAAAACCGCACUAAGCAAAACCCAUUUCCCCAUAGAAAUGAAUGUAAAUAGAGAUUAAUUAUUUACUGCCUGCCCCACCGCCCCCUCUCCCCACUCACCCACCUGCC